UCUCACUUGCUGAAAGUUCUGCUUAGCUGAAUCAGGGCCUUACAUGCUAAGCCCCAGCUCCUGGAGUCAAGUGGAUGUGAUGAUUUCAGCCGUCUUUCUUAAAGAAAAAUUAAACUUGGCAAAAGAGACCCCCAUUGUGCUGUAGUCAGGAAACCAGCAGUAUUCCUUUAUAGCCCUAGCCUGAGAGAUGGAGAAGAGAGCAGCCAGCUGCACCAUGAAGAGAGGUGAUGUGACUUGCCCAAGGCCACUCAACAGAUGCUUAUUGCCGUCCCUCCUUGCCAUCACAAUCCACAUGUCUGCCAGCCAGCAAAUAAAGUGUAGAGCAACCCAUAGUGGCCAUUGCUGCACACUCUACAAAUGAAAAAAAGCAGGCUUUUUCCUUUACAUCACUGUGAUGACACAUCACAG